UCCCUGGUGGUCCAAUGGUUAGGACUCCAUGCUUCCACUGUUGGGGACCUGAGUUCGAUCCUUGGUCAGGGAA